GCCUCUUGCAUGUAAUGCGAAGCCAAGCCUGCGUGUGCCUAAAUAGUAUUCUUAUCGAUCGGGGCUUUUUUUGGCAUGUGCAGAAAAAGUAGAUAUAACAAUUUCUUACAUGAUUUAUUAAUCCAACUUAAAACGAUACGAAAAUAAAGAAUGUCGGGUCAACAUAUUAACUAAUCAGGUUGUUAUUGGGACACACGCUAAGAACCCGUUAAUCAAGUUUACCUACAGAUAAACCGUUUCAUCCAAAUAAGAAAAAAGUUAGUUUGAUAAUUUUAAAUCACUAAAAAACGUAAUAUUAUGGCCAUAGUAUUUACUCUCACAUAAGUGAGAUUAAAAAAUUCCAAAGCACAUAAAAAUACCAAAGCACAUUAAAAAAUUCAUAAAAUUAAUUUACAAGUGUGAAAAAAUAUGCAAAUGCUCGUGAUUGCAUUCUUUACGCUUUGACGAUUAGUACAUCGUCCAAAUUUUUAAAACUACAAACCCUUGUGAACAAUGUUCUUAGAGGAGUUCAAAAUAAAUAAAAAUUCAUAAUUAUUCAUGUAAAAGUGUGAAAAUAAUAUACAAGCGUUCAUGGUUGCAUCCUCUACAUUUAGACUAUGGAGGCAUCGUCGUUUCGGAUUUUAAAACCGUCCAAUUCCUCAUGAAUAGUGUUCAUUGUUUGAGUGAAAAAUUAAUAAAAAUUCAUAACAUUAAUGUAGAAGUGUGAAAAAAUAUAAAAUGAAAUAUAUACAAUCACUCAUAAUGACAACCUUUACACCUUUCGUGAAGGGGUUAACUCCAAAAUUUGACACCGUAAUCCAUAAACCCUAGAUUUACAUUUAACAGUAGAGUGUCAUUUACACUUUACUCUUCUCACCGGAUUUCGUUUUUCAGAUUUUCUUUUUGAAAAUAUGAUGUGUUAGCGAAUGCAUAAAAAUGAAUGGUUUGGAUCCUUGAUGUCAUGUUCUAAUGUUCACAGUUAAUUGAAAUAUGAAUAAAUGUUAUAUAGUUCCUAGAGACUUUAUAAACUUAGAGCAAUAUUUUCACUAACCCUAAAAAUCUGAACAUGAUAUCAAUGAGCCGAACUGUUCAUCUAUCUGCAUUCGCUAAAAGAUCAUGUUUUCAAAAAAGUAAAUCUGAAAAAUGAGAUUUGGUGAGAAUAAUAGAGUGUAAACGUAAACGACAAUGACGAUUAAAUUUAAAUCUAUGGUUUGUGGGAUUAUGGUGGCAAUUUCGGAGUUGACCUCUUCACAAAUGUUGUAAAGCUUGUUGAUUGGAUUUUUACCACCUACAAAAGUAGGGAUAAAAACACUUAAAAAUAUUUGCAAGAGAACAAGAUAGUUGUAGUAUAAAUGGCACAAGCAAGGUCGUUUCCCUAGGGAUUGAAUGAAUAAUUUGUAUUUAAACUAAUUCUUAAUUAACUAUUUAAAACAAAGUUUGGAAAAUGGUAAUUUUGUGACUUAAAGUAUUAAAAACUUAAUAAAAACAAUUAAUAAAUCAACUAGAAAAUCAAUUUAAUGAAAAUCAAUUUAAGGAGACACUAGGGUUUUGCCAUCACCUAACAUAGUUCUGCCAAUUACUUAUGAAUUACCCAUGCAUAUUUCGAAGGUUAGGUUUUCCUAAAGUAUGUCCUACGUGGAACCUCCAACAUAGAACAUAUAUUUAACAUGCAACUAGAAAAUCAAUUUAAUGAAAAUCAAUUUAAGGAGACACUAGGGUUUUGCCAUCACCUAACAUAGUUCUUCCAAUUACUUAUGAAUUACCCAUGCAUAUUUCGAAGGUUAGGUUUUCCUAAAGUAUGUCCUACGUGGAACCUCCAACAUAGAACAUAUAUUUAACAUGCAACCCGUCCGGACCUUCGGUUUAAAUAUGAACAUGAAAGACUCACUAAGUUUUGUGAAAAUCCUUUGAAAAACCAUGCAACCCUUAAGACGCGGUGUUCAUCUUAGUGAAAUUACAAUUAUUAACCACAAGAAGCUAGCGCCAAUUUCAGGGAACCUUUUGACCAAAAUUGCAUCAAAUUACUUUUCUAAAUAUUCUAAUGGUUGCAAACACUAAGAUAUUUAGAUAAUUUACACCGAUGAUUAAUAAUUCAAAACAUGCAUACAUAAUAUCAUAAGCAAAAUGAAAAGAAACUACAUAUUUUUGCUAAGGCUCGUGGCCUCGCCCUAGCAAAAGAAACUAGUUACGAACAAUCAUAAAAUAAAAUAUUAUUAAGAACAUGUAAAGAAAACACUUUGUAGGUAAAAAGUCUAAAAUUCUCUAAAGUAGUGUAUCUCCCUCUUAACCCUAAUGGCUAAAUAUCCUUAUUUAUACACUACAAAAUAAAACCCUAAAAGGUCUUACAAUAAAACUAGGAAACAUAAUAAAAUAAUAAACUAGCAAAUAAGGUUUCCUAUUUGAAUUGAAAUUUGGACUUCUAAAAAAAUCAGACUUUUGACCGACCAAAUCAACUCCGAUUUGGUCCCAAAAGGUCACUUGAAAGCUGAAGACGUCCAUAUGAAUCCUCAGAAGGAAUCUUCCUCAAAAUAUGCCAUCUUGAUUCCAAAAUAUCCAAAACAUCCAAAAACAUCAACUUAGGAAAGUUGCGCGCUGACACUUCUUUUCUUUGCCACGAUCAAACAGCUUGGUAGAAAAAUCUAAAACUUUGACACAAUCAUCUUGAUAGACUCACGAACAUCCUCCAAUCGGAAUCGCUCCAAAAUUAGUCCAUUUGAUUACUUUAUGCUCAAGAGUAAAUCGAAUGUCCUACAUUAGAAAUAUAACUCAAAGUAUCAAAAUUCACACAAAAUAAUCAGUAAAUUAAUACUAAGAUUAGGGUAAAAUAUAUAUAAAAAUAUUGAUUCAUCACAAGUACAUUCCUGUUUAAUUAUGUUUAUUCUCCUUUGAUUUGUCUAAAUACCAAAAAUAAUAAACAUGAGCAUGCAAGGAAUUAUAGAAAUCAUUCCAAGUAGUAUGAUAAGUAUUGAGCUUUUAUUCAAAAUAAAGUGAAAUUCACACUGCUCUUAUGGUAAAUGAAAAGUAAUUCAACUUCUUAAUAAUAGUGCAUUGGCAAAAAAUAAGAAGACAUUUCAUGUGCUUAUAGAGAGUUGACUACUCCUCCAAUUCCUCAAUUGAUUUUAUUAGGGUAAAACCUCAAUUAUUUUUUCAUUACAAAAGGUAGAUGGGUUGAAUAAUUAAUUGUAUAUAUUUUUUCGCACUUCUACAUUAUAAAAAAAAAACUAUUCAAAAACCUUACUACAACAAUAGUCAUAGGAUUUAAUCUCACUUAUGUAAGAUUAAACCCUUACCGUUGAAUUCUUUGAUCUCAUUUACAUUUUUAGUAUUAUAUUUUUAUUUAAUUAUUUAUUGAUUAAAAUAUAUCUUCUUUAACGGGUUUGACCAUAUUACCUGUUAAUAUUACGGGUUGAUUUUGAUCGGAUCAUGUUACCCGUUCAUUU
rnacentral:lncRNA from 1 species